ACCUCUAGCAUAACUAGUAUUAGAGGCACUGCCUGCCCAGUGACCAUGUUAAACGGCCGCGGUAUCCUGACCGUGCAAAGGUAGCAUAAUCACUUGUUCUCUAAAUAAGGACUAGUAUGAAUGGCUAAACGAGGACUUUACUGUCUCUCAUCUGUAAUCAGUGAAAUUGACCUUCCCGUGAAAAGGCGGGAAUAAUAAAAUAAGACGAGAAGACCCUAUGGAGCUUCAAUUAUCAGCUUAAAAUUAUCCACACACACUUCUAAGGAAAUAAAAACUAAUUAUAUAAGCAACUAAUUUUGGUUGGGGUGACCUCGGAGAAAAAAAUAACCUCCGAGCGGUUUAAAUCCAGACUGACAAGUCUAAAUAAUCCAUCAAUUGAUCCAAUAUUUGAUCAACGGAACAAGUUACCCUAGGGAUAACAGCGCAAUCCUAUUCAAGAGUCCCUAUCGACAAUAGGGUUUACGACCUCGAUGUUGGAUCAAGACAUCCCAAUGGCGCAGCUGCUAUUAAC
rnacentral:rRNA from 1 species